rnacentral:rRNA from 1 species
AGCAGCCGCGGUAAUUCCAGCUCCAAUAGCGUAUAUUAAAGUUGUUGCAGUUAAAAAGCUCGUAGUUGAAUUUCGGGAUCAAGUCGUCGGUCGUGCUUAGGUACGUACUGGCGUCAUUGAUUUCUCCCUUCUGACGAACCAUGAUGUCAUUAAUUUGGUGUUAUGGGAAAUCAGGACUGUUACUUUGAAAAAUUAGAGUGUUUAAAGCAGGCUCACGCUUGAAUACAUUAGCAUGGAAUAAUGAAAUAGGACGUUCGAUCCUAUUUUGUUGGUUUUAGGAUCAACGUAAUGAUUAAUAGGGAUAGUUGGGGCAUUAGUAUUCAAUUGUCAGAGGUGAAAUUCUUGGAUUUAUUGAAGACUAACUACUGCGAAAGCAUUUGCCAAGG